GAUGAACGCUGGCGGCGUGCCUAAUACAUGCAAGUCGAGCGAACAGACGAGGAGCUUGCUCCUUUGACGUUAGCGGCGGACGGGUGAGUAACACGUGGAUAACCUACCUAUAAGACUGGGAUAACUUCGGGAAACCGGAGCUAAUACCGGAUAACAUGUUGAACCGCAUGGUUCAACAGUGAAAGACGGUCUUGCUGUCACUUAUAGAUGGAUCCGCGCCGCAUUAGCUAGUUGGUAAGGUAACGGCUUACCAAGGCAACGAUGCGUAGCCGACCUGAGAGGGUGAUCGGCCACACUGGAACUGAGACACGGUCCAGACUCCUACGGGAGGCAGCAGUAGGGAAUCUUCCGCAAUGGGCGAAAGCCUGACGGAGCAACGCCGCGUGAGUGAAGAAGGUCUUCGGAUCGUAAAACUCUGUUAUUAGGGGAGAACAAAUGUGUAAGUAACUAUGCACGUCUUGACGGUACCUAAUCAGAAAGCCACGGCUAACUACGUGCCAGCAGCCGCGGUAAUACGUAGGUGGCAAGCGUUAUCCGGAAUUAUUGGGCGUAAAGCGCGCGUAGGCGGUUUUUUAAGUCUGAUGUGAAAGCCCACGGCUCAACCGUGGAGGGUCAUUGGAAACUGGAAAACUUGAGUGCAGAAGAGGAAAGUGGAAUUCCAUGUGUAGCGGUGAAAUGCGCAGAGAUAUGGAGGAACACCAGUGGCGAAGGCGACUUCCUGGUCUGUAACUGACGCUGAUGUGCGAAAGCGUGGGGAUCAAACAGG
rnacentral:rRNA from 1 species